UAUUAGCUUGUUGGUGGGGUAACGGCCUACCAAGGCGAUGAUGGGUAGCUGGUCUGAGAGGACGAUCAGCCACACUGGGACUGAGACACGGCCCAGACUCCUACGGGAGGCAGCAGUUAGGAAUUUUCCGCAAUGGGCGAAAGCCUGACGGAGCAACGCCGCGUGAGUGAUGAAGACCUUCGGGUUGUAAAGCUCUAUCGGAGGGGAAGAACACAAUGACGGUACCCUCCAAGAAAGCCCCGGCUAACUACGUGCCAGCAGCCGCGGUAAUACGUAGGGGGCGAGCGUUAUCCGGAUUUACUGGGCGUAAAGCGCGUUAAGGCGGCCGACAAAGUUGGUGGUGAAAUUUCAGGGCUCAACUCUGAAACUGCCUCCAAUACUGGUUGGCUUGAGUGCGAGAGAGGAAGGUGGAAUUCCCGGUGUAGUAGUGAAAUGCGUAGAUAUCGGGAGGAACACCAGUGGCGAAGGCGGCCUUCUGGCUCGCAACUGACGCUGUAGCGCGAAAGCGUGGGGAAGCGAACGGGAUUAGAUACCCCGGUAGUCCACGCCCUAAACGAUGUGCACUAGGUGUUGGGCGUAUUGACGCGCUCAGUGCCGCAGCUAACGCAUUAAGU
rnacentral:rRNA from 1 species